UUAUCAAAAGCUUUAUGGGUAUUUGUAAAGAUGUCUAAAUUAUGUACACAUAUUUGGUACUUAGUAUUUUUGUUGUUUCUUGUUGUCCAGACUACUUGCAUGGUAUAAAAGAUUCUGAGGUGCAGCGAUGUAACAAGGCUGUAAAUGUAACAAAAGCUCAAAAUCAUGGAGUGGUUCAGCACUUAUCAGGUUCGGCGAAAGCACUUGAUAGUGAUGAUACUGUCAUUUACAGGGCUAACACAAGAGUUUCUUUGACCUGUCGAGUAGUAACAAAGGUUUGUAAAAAUAUUUUUAAGUUCUAGCUUCUUACAGAAAUAAAACUAGCAACAGAUGCAACGCCAAGAUGAGUAGAUCAUUGAGUUAGGAGAAUUACAACCACCCUGCAGUUUUGUAAUAUCUUACUAUAUUGAUUUGUGCUAGAUUGCACCACGAAAACCUCAAUGAUUUAACAAUUUAAAUGUAGCAUAGUUAGAUUUAUCCA